GGUGGCCUAGCGGUUAGAGCGUCCGCAUAGGAUGCGGGAGGUCGUGGAUUCGAUCCCCGGUCAGGUCAUACCA